ensembl:lncRNA
GUGGCACCACCACCUCUGCUACCAUAGAUGGACUUAUGCCAGGUGACCGCUAUAUCUUCAAAAUCCGUGGAGUCAAUAGGAAGGGCCAAGGACCACAGACUAAAGCCAUCAUUGUUGCAAUGCCUGCAUCCAGCUCUACUCACUUAAGGAACACAGACAGCCACAAGACAAGUCAAAGUGCCUCCAAGACAUCAUCAAACAAAGAAUCAGACAAUCAGGAGCCAGAUGAGAUGGAAGAGUCCGAUACUCAGACCACAACUCAAGCGCCACCCACCAAUAGACGAGGACGCCCUCUUUCUCAAACAAGGUCCUAUCACAGCAUCUUCUCCUCUGUGAGGGGUUCUGUCAGAAACGGAGGUUCUAGCUCAAGGUCAAACUCACAUUCAUCCUCCACUCAUGCCAAAGAUAGAGAAGGCAAUACAAAUGAGGAAGAGAAGCCAACAGACAGUCCAAUAGAAGAGGAAAUCAGAGCAAAUGAGGCUAUUGAGGACACAAAACCAGAGAGCAGUAAUAAUGCAUCACCACAAACAGAGGAGCCUUCAAAAUACUCACCUGACACUAAAGAAUCAAAUCCCAAUCAGUCUGAAUCUGUCCAUAAAACAUCUGAGGACAAACGUCCUUCUUGGACCCCUCGCACAUCCUCAGUUGUUGAUAUUAGCAGAUUAAGAAGGCCUAAUUCUCGAUCAAGAAUGCGGAGUGAAGAUUCUUCCAAUUUGUCGCAAAACCAAGAGUCUGCAACUAUAAGAAAGGACCUAACAGCAGUCUCCUAUCCUGAGGGAAAGAACUCGUACAGCCAGAUAAGUGUCACAGACAGGACACCUUCAGUGAUCUCACCUCAGGAAACCAUGCCUGAACCAGUGAAAAAAUCAGAAUCAUCCUCAUCCAUCUCUUCUUCUCCAACAUCCGCUUCCUCCUACUCCGCAUCAUCUUCAUCAUCUUCUUCUUCCACCUCAUCUUCUUCAGGAUCUUCUCCUUCAUCAUCCUCACCAUCAUCAUCAUCAGGUGCAAGAAGGAUUUCCUCCACUUCAGGUCGAGUCACAAGUUCAGGAUCUGGUGCCAUGUACCCUAAUGGAAGAAGAGUUGGAAUUUCAACUAGAGCUCAGAGACUUCAAACAGGAGAGCACAAACUUGAUUCAUCAUCAACAUCUGCUUCUUCACAGUCCACACUGCCAAUGGGAACCAGGACAAACAGUCACGAUACAACAGAGGAGCAUGAUACCAACCACAAGAACACGGAGCUAGAUGACACAAAGGGUGAACAACCAACUGAAGAAACAAAAAAAAACUUUUCUGAUACAACUGAAGAGGAACACCCAGAACAAAAGGAAAAUUAUGAUAACAAAGAAGAGAAAAGCAAUAGUUAUGGUUCCACUUCCCAUUCUUCUUCAAGGACUACCCCUUCUACAAAAGGAAGAAGUUCACCCCUUUCAUUACCAAACCGAAAUUCUAGGAUAGUUUCAGGGAGUCGCAGACAAGAUGGGAGAAUACCGUGGAGUAGGACUGCCUCAUCUAUAGGUGCAGGAAGGCCAAUUAUUACAGGAUUUCCUUCUCGUUCUACUGCUGUGAGCUCUCAAGACACUAGCAAUAAAACUCAAAUUUCACCCACAACAUACCCUUCAAAGCAUGAGGUUAAUCCUGUCUCAAAUAAACCUAGUGUGCUAAAUAAAGAAACAAAUGUUGCAAUAAAUUACAACAAUCCCAGUAAUAAUGAAGAUGUAAAAAUUAACAAAGAUCAUGAAGAUGAUUAUCUUUACGAGGGAAGCAGAGAGACCUUGGACAGGCAAAGCAAAGAUGCCACCUCAACUGCUGCACCUAAAACAACAACAACUGUGAGUGAACCUCACAGACCUGUCCAGAACUUUGAGAAUGAAAGUGUGGAUAGGGAACAAAGUAGUACCAGUACCAGUACCAGUUCAAAGUCAAUUCCUUCAGUUGCCCAAAAAGUCCCUAUUUUGGCUUCUAAUGGUCAGGUCCGUUCACCUGUGGUAGCAAGCCGUCUGAAAGGUUCACGGUUCCCUGGUAGGGUGUAUCCAGUACAACACAGAAGACUGGGCUCUGUUUCCACACCGGGCUCUUCAUCAUCUUCAUCACACUCCUCUUCAGCAUCAUCAUCUGCCUCCUCUCAAAAUAGUCCAGCAGAAUCACCACUUAUCUCAGAUCGGGACACAGCUGACAGGAGUAAUACUAAUGUUAGGCUCACCCCAAGUUCAGUUUCUCGCUCUUCCCAUGGGCUGUCUGCUGGUGAAAGCUCUAGAGGGAAUUUAUCUCCUGAGUCUCGAAAUCCAGUGAUGGGAUCGAGGCUGC